rnacentral:tRNA from 1 species
CAAAAAUGAAGUCUAAACCCUUCUUAGAGCA